rnacentral:rRNA from 1 species
UACGUGGGGUGCGAGCGUUGUUCGGAAUUACUGGGCGUAAAGGGUGCGUAGGCGGGUCUUUAAGUCAGGGGUGAAAUCCUGGAGCUCAACUCCAGAACUGCCUUUGAUACUGAAGAUCUUGAGUUCGGGAGAGGUGAGUGGAACUGCGAGUGUAGAGGUGAAAUUCGUAGAUAUUCGCAAGAACACCAGUGGCGAAGGCGGCUCACUGGCCCGAUACUGACGCUGAUGCACGAAAGCGUGGGGAGCAAACAGG